UUACAUACCAAACAUAGGUACGUCAUUAGCUCGUUUCCUUCCCUUCUCUUCCCUUUGUCCCUCAGUCCCAUGCUCGUGGCGCUGAAGUGGCAUCGACAGGCGAUGGCGGCGAGGACAGCACGUGGAAGCCCCUGAAGCACGAACACGACUGCACCUCGGGUCUGCCGUCUCUCAAGAUAUGGCUCCGGCCGAUUGACAAUGGUGGUUCACCAUCCUUCCUCUCAGCACCCACUCCUGGAGGAACGACACGCCAUGCCAAUCGAACCCGGUCGAGAUCACUCACCAAGAUUGCUAUUCGGAAGUUUUUUGUCAAAAAGUGAAGAGUGAGCCACUUGUGCAGGCAAGGAAAAGAGAUGGUGCAGAAGGAGCUUAAGCAGGCAUGAUGGUUCGACAACCACAACCUCGCAAGGCCAUCCACAUGGCCCAGCAACACUAUUUCAAGUUUGCCUCUCGCUCCCUACCCAGCCACUCAGUAGUGGAUUUUAUUAUUUUGUCUUCUCCAUGGACUGAUUGGUUGUUGCUGUGGUUACUCCAUGGACUAAUAUGACCUUUGCACUGAAACCAUUUAUUUUACAAAAUUGCCUACCUUUGUUCUAGCAUAUUAAAUUUUAUUAGCAUGCUCCAGUGCCUACAAAUUGUUCUGUCGGAACAUUAUCUUUGUUCUUCCAUCAUGAAAUUUGUGAAGUUUGCAAUGACUGGAGAUCUCACCAAUAGUUAUGUCUCCAAAAACUCCUCUUGUUCUAUUCAGACGCUUAACUUACUUUAGAUAAUGGAAGAUGGUUGCUCAGCCUCUACAUCGUUCCAUAAUUUAUAUUUCCUGGACUUGUUAUUUCCCUGUGGAUUGAUCUAGGAUCCUACUUUGUUAUACAAGCGUCUGCCAGUUAAUGCUUUGCCAUUGUUUCUCUUGAGGUCACUCUUUAUAUUAGAAUAUUUUUAUGUACUGCAUUUAUGCUCUAUCUACAUUGGAAUUUGAUGUCAUCCUUGACUGUUACCUCUGUGUGCCUCAACUUUAUAUUGUAGAAAUUAUGUUUUGUUAAUUAUAACUACAUACUAUUCUUUCACUAUUUCUGAUAAAAUCAGAAUAUUAUUUUUGAUAGGCUGGAAGGGAGGUCAUUAUCUACAACUUCUUACCAUCUCAUAUUUCAUCAAACUAAUAAACAACGGUUCAAAUGACUAGGGUUGCUAGGGAAGGGAGAAUUUAUUUGAAUAAUUUCCUCUUGACUAGGAUGAAUGAGAAAAUAUCUUCAUGUGGUUCUAUGUACAUUUCAUGUGCGUACUUACUAGUCAGAGUAAAAAAUAUAUGCAAAUUGUGUUGUUACAUACAAUUGUCAUGAUUACAAUGUCUGAUGAGAAACAAAUUACUUUUAGUCUUGCCGACAAUAUCCAGGAACCACGACCACCAACAUGCAGCAUGGCCAAUGGGCGGAGAACGGAUGGAUACCUCGCUGGGAACCAUGGUUUCACACAUGCAGUAGAAACCAAAUGGUGGAUGGAAAGGCUACCUCAUGGGGAACCAGGGGCACGACUUGUAGUGUCCAACUGGUGGCGAAUGGAAGGCUACCUGGCCGGGUACCUCAACUACUAGGCACUUAGCCAACGGGUGCACAUGGACGUGAUGACUUUGAAGUGUUUAUGGACCAAUGAACCUAUAAUCGUGGAUCUUAUGUGUCUUCCAGACCAUUUGGUGUUUCCGAUAUUUUGGAGCUUGUACUUUGUGCAAGUGGAUAUAGACUUGUGUGUUGUAGACCAUCUAGCUAAAGUCUCUCAUACAAGCAAAUAGUGCUCAUCUUUCUGUGACUUGUGUGUUCUAGGUGAUUGUUAAGAUGGUCAAAACUAUGCUUUGCCAAGAUGAUGUGUUUGUCAACUUGCAUUCAAUGUAUAUGCAUGUUUGUGAACAAGUUUUCAUUGUUGUACAGUAUGUGCUCAUCUUGAACCUUCUUGUGGAUGUGAGGAUAAUAAUUGAAUCUGUUUAGAGUUUGUA